GUUGCGGUUAAAAAGCUCGUAGUUGGAUUUCUGCCGGUGAGCGACGGUCUGCCCUUAGUGGUUUGUACUCGUCGGUCUUCACUGGCAUCUUCCUGGGGGCUGUGUCUGCACUUCGCUGUGUGGUGCAUGAUCCAGGACUUUUACCUUGAGGAAAUGAGAGUGUUUCAAGCAGGCAUUCGCCUUGAAUACGUUAGCAUGGAAUAAUGGCAUCGGACCUUCAUCCAAAGCUGUUGGUUCCUUGGAAGAAGGUAAAGGUGAAUAGGGAUUGUUGGG
rnacentral:rRNA from 1 species